rnacentral:rRNA from 1 species
UACAGAGGUCUCAAGCGUUGUUCGGAUUCAUUGGGCGUAAAGGGUGCGUAGGCGGCGCGGUAAGUCGGGUGUGAAAUCUUGGAGCUUAACUCCGAAACUGCAUUCGAUACUGCCGUGCUUGAGGACUGGAGAGGAGACUGGAAUUUACGGUGUAGCGGUGAAAUGCGUAGAUAUCUAAGGAAGACCAGUGGCGAAGGCGGGU